rnacentral:snoRNA from 1 species
AAUGCUGUGAUGAGAUGAACACCUUUUUGGUGUUUUGGGCAGUGGGUAAAAGUUGGAUUUUUAAUCCUUCUCCGUGAGCCCUCUAAUUAACGACUUCUCCUUCCACUGAGCAUU